GUCCACACCGUAAACGAUGGAUACUAGGUGUCCGGGACUUCGGUCCUGGGUGCCCAAGGGAAACCGAUAAGUAUCCCACCUGGGGAGUACGUCCGCAAGGAUGAAACUCAAAGGAAUUGACGGGGGCCCGCACAAGCGGUGGAGCAUGUGGUUUAAUUCGAUGAUACGCGAGAAACCUUACCUGGGCUAGAAUGCCCCUGACAGGCCGUGAAAGCGGUUUUUCCUUCGGGACAGGGGUGCAAGGUGCUGCAUGGUUGUCGU
rnacentral:rRNA from 1 species